rnacentral:rRNA from 1 species
UACGGAGGGCGCAAGCGUUAAUCGGAAUUACUGGGCGUAAAGCGCACGCAGGUGGCUGAGUCAGUCGAUUGUGAAAGCCCUGGGCUUAACCUAGGAAUUGCAGUCGAUACUACUCGGCUAGAGUAUGGGAGAGGGCAGUGGAAUUCCCGGUGUAGCGGUGAAAUGCGUAGAUAUCGGGAGGAACAUCAGUGGCGAAGGCGGCUGCCUGGCCCAAUACUGACACUCAGGUGCGACAGCGUGGGGAGCAAACAGG